rnacentral:lncRNA from 1 species
GACCUGUCACGAGACACGCACGCCCGAGCCAGGGAAGGCCUUUGGUCCUAUACCUCGAAUGUUCCGGGGAUAGGGGCACGGUCCUCCGUUUCCAGACGGUUCCUACUCGUUUCCCGCAAAAAGCACCUCCCGCUGGUUGGGGUGUAGUGGUGGAAGCUGGCCUCUCGAAUGCAGAACAGGAAGUAGCGAGCAGAAUUUCGUACCCGUUUAACUUUGCCAUCUAGGGAAAGGGAAUAAACCACCCUCCUCGCUCCUGAAAUAACAUCUAGCUGCCAUUGAGAUGAGCAGGUGUGCUCUCAGAGGGCGGGAUUUGGCGCUUGC